CUUCCCAUUCCGAACAGAGCAGUUAAGCCCCAUUGCGCCGAUGGUACUACAAUCAAAUGUGGAAGAGUAGGUCGCUGCCGGCC
rnacentral:rRNA from 1 species